rnacentral:pre_miRNA from 1 species
AUUCAGAUGCUUUCGGAUACCAAGGUAAUGAAGGGAAGCUUUCGCCUUUAUCACUUGGUAUCUGAAGCAUCUGAUUUCC